UACGUAGGGUGCAAGCGUUGUCCGGAAUUAUUGGGCGUAAAGAGCUCGUAGGCGGUUUGUCACGUCGGCUGUGAAAUCCCGAGGCUCAACCUCGGGCCUGCAGUCGAUACGGGCAAACUAGAGUGUGGUAGGGGAGACUGGAAUUCCUGGUGUAGCGGUGAAAUGCGCAGAUAUCAGGAGGAACACCGGCGGCGAAGGCGGGUCUCUGGGCCAUAACUGACGCUGAGGAGCGAAAGCGUGGGGAGCGAACAGG
rnacentral:rRNA from 1 species